GGAGGAAAAGAAACCAACAGGGAUUGCCUUAGUAGCGGCGAGUGAAGCGGCAAAAGCUCAAAUUUGAAAUCUGGCACUUUCAGUGUCCGAGUUGUAAUUUGAAGAAGGUAUCUUUGGGUCUGGCUCUUGUCUAUGUUUCUUGGAACAGAACGUCACAGAGGGUGAGAAUCCCGUGCGAUGAGAUGACCCAGACCUAUGUAAAGUUCCUUCGAAGAGUCGAGUUGUUUGGGAAUGCAGCUCUAAGUGGGUGGUAAAUUCCAUCUAAAGCUAAAUAUUGGCGAGAGACCGAUAGCGAACAAGUACAGUGAUGGAAAGAUGAAAAGAACUUUGAAAAGAGAGUGAAAAAGUACGUGAAAUUGUUGAAAGGGAAGGGCUUGAGAUCAGACUUGGUAUUUUGUAUGUUACUCUCUCGGGGGUGGCCUCUACAGUUUACCGGGCCAGCAUCAGUUUGGGCGGUAGGACAAUUGCAAAGAAAUGUGGCACUGCCUCGGUAGUGUGUUAUAGUCUUUGUCGAUACUGCCAGCCUAGACUGAGGACUGCGGCUUCGGCCUAGGAUGUUGGCAUAAUGAUCUUAAGUCGCCC
rnacentral:rRNA from 1 species